CCUGUUCCUAGAAGCAUUGCAAAUGACAUGUGAGUUAGUAGGUGGCAGAGAGGAGUAAGGCUAUGUCUAUGUUUGGUGACCUAUGAACAUAUGAAUGAUCAGGAGCCUAAUAUU
ensembl:snoRNA predicted gene, 24850